AUUUAACCAGGUAGGCCAGUUGAGAACACCUUUAUUUAACCGGGUAGGCCAGUUGAGAACACCUUUAUUUAACCAGGUAGGCUAGUUGAGAACACCUUUAUUUAACCAGGUAGGCCAGUUGAGAACACCUUUAUUUAACCAGGUAGGCCAGUUGAGAACACCUUUAUUUAACCAGGUAGGCCAGUUGAGAACACCUUUAUUUAACCGGGUAGGCCAGUUGAGA